GCUUACGGCCAUACCACCCUGAACACGCCCGAUCCCGACUGAUCUCGGAAGCUAAGCGGGGUCGGGCCUGGUCAGUAC
rfam:Poecilia formosa, whole genome shotgun sequence.